rnacentral:rRNA from 1 species
GACGAACGCUGGCGGCGUGCUUAACACAUGCAAGUCGAGCGGUAAGGCCCUUUCGGGGGUACACGAGCGGCGAACGGGUGAGUAACACGUGGGUGACCUGCCCUCAGCUCUGGGAUAAGCCCGGGAAACUGGGUCUAAUACUGGAUAUGACUCCAUGACGCAUGUUGUGGGGUGGAAAGCCUUGUGCGGCUGGGGAUGGGCCCGCGGCCUAUCAGCUUGUUGGUGGGGUGAUGGCCUACCAAGGCGACGACGGGUAGCCGGCCUGAGAGGGCGACCGGCCACACUGGGACUGAGACACGGCCCAGACUCCGUACGGGAGGCAGCAGGUGGGGAAUCUUGCGCAAUGGGCGAAAGCCUGACGCAGCGACGCCGCGUGAGGGAUGACGGCC